rnacentral:rRNA from 1 species
CCUACGGGUGGCAGCAGUGAGGAAUAUUGGUCAAUGGGCGGAAGCCUGAACCAGCCAAGUAGCGUGCAGGAUGACGGCCCUACGGGUUGUAAACUGCUUUUAUACGGGAAUAACUCGCAUUACAGGUAGGGCUUUGCGUGUACCUUAUGAAUAAGGACCGGCUAAUUCCGUGCCAGCAGCCGCAGUAAUACGGAAGGUCCGGGCGUUAUCCGGAUUUCUUGGGUUUAAAGGUAGCGUCGGCCGGAUGUCAAGCGUGCUGUGAAAUGGCCGGGCUCAACCCGGGCCUUGCAGCGCGAACUGGCGUGCUUGAGUCCGCGGAAAGCAGGCGGAAUUCGGCGUGUAGCGGUGAAAUGCUUAGAUAUGACGAAGAACCCCGAUUGCGAAGGCAGCUUGCUGCAGCGGAACUGACGCUGAUGCUCGAAAGCGCGGGUAUCGAACAGGAUUAGAUACCCCAGUAGUC